CAUUGAUGUCUAGCCCCUGGCCAAAACACGCUUUGCUGAUAAACAAAACGUGUUCAUAAUCAAUAAGUGCUCUCAAUCAAACUAAAAUCAAAGAUUUCACACGCAAAAGCACUAUCUAUAUACACAUAUGCUGUUAAAACAGCUUCGCUGCUCGAUCCCACUUCAAACAUUCGCUGCGCGCCGACUGCGGCAUUACUUCCGUAACAUGGAUUGUCCGGAUUUGAGACCUCCGACAUGUGUCCGUGGGAUGAAGGUUCUCGAUCGGAAUGCGUUCAAUAUGCAUAUCACCGUUCCUCAACUGGUAGUGCCAUCAAGUUUGAAUUUUAAUGGGAUCUGUGCAGCGGUUAAAAAAGUUCUCUUGAAGAUGGAACGAUACAAACCAGUAGAGUCAAAUGGAUCCAGUAUAACGUUGCACCCCCUCGCAGUGAGGAAGUGGGAGGACCUAGAAAGUUUCAAUCUAGGAGAAAAAGGUCUAGAUCAAUCCAAUCUGUUGUGGAGAGAAAUAGCGAUUGGAUAUGAAAACUGGAAAUAUGACGAAAUAUUAAAAGCAAUUUUGCCAGAGGAACAAGAAGGAUUGUCUGCAUUUUCUAAAGUUGGCCACAUAGUUCACUUAAAUUUGAAGGAACAUCUGCUGCCCUAUAAGAUGCUGAUUGGGGAUGUUAUAAAAGACAAAAUUCCCGGAUGCAAAACGGUUGUGAAUAAGCUGCUGACAAUCGAUAACACUUUUCGAAAUUUCCAAAUGGAAUUGUUAGCUGGAGAGGAAGAUUACCAAGUUUUGGUUAAGGAAAAUGGAGUUAGUUAUGAAUUUGAUUUUUCCAAGGUCUAUUGGAAUCCUAGACUAUCUACCGAACACGAGAAAAUCGUAAAAAUGUUGAACAAGAAUGACAUUCUUUUUGACAUCUACGCCGGAGUAGGUCCAUUCUCUGUCCCUGCUGCUAAAAAAGGGUGCACGGUGUUUGCCAAUGAUCUCAACCCGCACUCAUUCAAAGCAUUGACACACAAUUGCAAAAAGAAUAAAGUCGAAUCGCGAGUGAAGUGUUUUAACAAAAACGGAAUUAAUUUUAUCCAGGAAGAAGUUUGCGCAUCACUCAUUUCUAUCAAUAAAGAUGAGAAUUUCAAUGGAACUGUCCACAUUACAAUGAAUCUUCCCGCCCUGGCGGUAGAACACUUGAAUACUUAUAUUGGUCUUCUAAGCGAAAAAUUAUCGAAAAUUUCUCAUUUUCCAUUGAUUCACGUGUAUUGUUUCGCAAAAGGAACGGAGGACAAAAAACAAAUUGCGCGUGAAGCGGUCGAGCAGCAUAUGAGUAUUCCUCUUGGGGAAAAUUUGAAAGAAAUCAGUUUUGUACGAAACGUAUCACCAAACAAAGAUAUGAUGAGAGUGACAUUUUAUUUAACCGAAGAAAUCUUGCUCUCGAAUACAGCUGGUUUGAAACGGCCUAUAAUACAGGAUUGCCAACAAUCCGUAAAACGUCAAUGCACUGAAAAUGGGCAAAAACAACAAGAAGAAUCGCAAUCAACAGAAGCAAGUGGCCAAAAAAGCUAAAAAUGUAUUUGCCGUGUCACAAGCGAAGAAAAACAACGUUAAGAAAGCAAAGGAAAUUACAUCAAAACUGAAAAAGAUAAACGUUAAAGACAAACGAGAGGCGGCUGAUAAAUCCUUCCAGGAACUACACGCUCAUAUAGUUUCUAAAAAAUCUAGCAAAAAACCAGCUCCAAAGGGACUUCCGCAGAAAAAGAAACCCAAUGCAAACACCGCACAAGUCGAAAAAGACUUGGAUAAAAUGCAAGUGUAGCAAUAGUUACUCUUUCUAUGCUUCUUCGCGAGGUUGGUUUAAAUAGUUGAUUUAUUACAAAUGAAAA